GCCCAGGAGUUCGAGGUUACUGUGAGCUGUGAUUGCACCACUGUACUCCAGUCUGGGCAACAGAGCAGAAGCCUGUCACCAAAAAGCAAAACCCCCCAUAUAUUUGUACCCAUUAAUCAAAGUGUUUUUAUCUCCCUUCACAGCCUCUGGUAGCCACCGGUCUACUCUCUUUCUCCAUGAGGUCCAGGUUUGAAGCUCCCACAUGUGAGUGAGAACAUGCAAUAUUUUUCUUCUGUGCCUGGCUUAUUUCACUUAAUAUAAUGACCUCCAGUUCUACCCGUCAACGGAGGAUUUAUUUUAGGAAACUUGCAAUGAAUGGCAGCCCACACUAGGCGAUGUUGAAGCCACAGAAGACACGGCAGUGGGAAAAGCAGCAGGAGCUGCUGCCCUGAGGAGCCUCCAAGCCCAGGCAGAGGGCCAGCCGCACAGGUCAGCGUCAGGUGGGCUUGGGGUGAGUGGGUGGGGCUGUGUGUGCAAAGCGGGAUGUGAGUCUGUAUGUGUGUGAGUACAUGGAGUGUGAACAAGUGUGCAAGGGGGUGUGUCUGUAUGUGUGUGAGUACAUGGAGUAUGAACAAGUGUGCGGGGGGGUGUGCACAAGUUCGUAUGCGUAUGAGUGCAUUUGAAAACCUGCAUGUGGUCGUGAGGGUAAGUUAGUCACUGCGGAUUGUGGAGGAUAUGUGUGUGUGCGUAGAACAGUGUCAGUGUCCUGAUGGGAGUGUGAAUGAGUGCACAGGGGUGUGGAGUCAAGGAGUGAGAGUGUGUGUGUAACACAUGAAGGCACAUAGUAUGUGCCAGUGUGUGCAAUGCAAGUGUGUGGGAAAGUGUGUGACUGCUUGUGGGUGUGCAUGUUGUGUGACGGUGUGUGUGGAUGUAUGAGUGUGUAUAAAUGUGAGCAUGUAAGAGUGAGUGUGCCUGUGACAGUGCAAGCGUAGGGUGUGAUGCAUGAGUGUGGGUAUGUCAUGUAUGAGUGCACAUGUUGGUGUGGAUCUGAGUGCAAGUGUAAAGGGCAUGAGAAUGCAAGCAUAGGAGUGUGCAUGCAUUUGUGAGUGCACUCUCAGAAGCAUGGAUGGGUGCAAGCCUCCCCUACUAACUCCUGUUCCUUCCUGAAGUC